AAUAGUUAUCAUUUCGACUGAUUUCGGUCACCACCGAGAGCACUGGUCACGGUGGUGGACUUGCGGUUUGGAUUUUCUGGGUUGAUUUUAGACCAUAAUAUAUGUUUAUGGAUGAUAAAUUAUGAGCAGACCUGGUAGCAGUAAGGGGUUGUUGCUUGCUCUCCAAUCGCCAGCAAUUUUGUUGUAGUGGGAGUAAGGGCUCUUCUAGAAGGCUCUUCACUAUUGCAGGGCACUCCAUCCAUAUCAAACAGCAUAGAAGAGAUCUUCCCCCACUCACUUCCAGAAAAUUCUUAAAUGUUCUUCUCUUCUACAUUCACACAAGCUUUGACCAUGCACCAUUCUCUUGGAGAAAACGAACCGUUUUGAGGUCUGUUGGAACAGAAGGUUCGAGACUGAGAUUUGUCUAGGUCUGGUUAAGUUGGAAUGUAAGGAGAACAUGGUGGUGGGUUGUGAGAGAGAAGAGGAGGGUGGUGAGAUUAGAAGCUUUGUGGCCAUGGAGUUUGAAUUGAAUUGAGGCAGAUUUGGUUGUUAUCAUUAGUGAGUGAUUGAGUGACGGGGGUUGAUGCUCUCCUUCGUUUGUUGCCAAUUUCAGAGCCGACCGCCACUAAUGGAGGCACGAUCGGAGUUUCUUAACAAAUUAGAAUCGAAAAGAGAAUCACACAUAGGCGCGAUCAGAGAUAUCACACAGAGGAACAAACGUUACAGAGAAGAAAGAGAAUAGGAAAAGAGAGAAAGAGAAAGAAUUGAUAGGAAUCUAUGAAUCAUGGAUUAUUGAAGCUAAAUGCAAAAAAUAAAAAGAAGCAGCAGAAGAAAAUAAAACGUUGAAUCUAUAGAGAGGACUACAUUGUGAAUUCUUAGGU